CAAAGAUAAAAAAAGACAAAGAAGAACAUCACAAUGAUAAAGGAAUCAAUUCAACAAGAAGAGCUAACUAUCCUAAAUAUGUAUGCACCCAAUACAGGAGAACCCAGAUUCACAAAACAAGUUCUUAGAGACCUACAAAGAGACUCAGGCUACCACACAACAAUAGUGGGAGACAUUAACACCCCAUUGUCAAUAUUGGAUCAUCUAGGCAGAAAAUUGACCAGAAAGGACUUGAACACAGCUCUGGAUCAAGUGAAUCUCAUAGAUAUCUACAGAACUCUCCAACACGAAACAACAGACUAUAUAUUAUUCUUAGUGGCAUAUGACACUCUAAAAUUGAUCACAAAAUUAGAAUUAAAACACUCCUCAGCAAAUGCAAAAUAACUGAAAUCAUAACAAUCUCUCAGACCACAGUGCAAUCAAAUUAGAACUCAAGAUUAAGAAACUCACUCAAAACCACACAACUACAUGGAUAUUGAACAACGUGCUCCUGAGUGACUUCUGGGUAAAUAAUAAAAUUAAGGCAGAAAUCAAGAAGCUCUUUGAAACCAAUGAGAACAAAGAGACAAUGUACCAGAAUCUCUGGGAGGCAACUAAAGCAGUGUUAAGAGUUUCUCCACAGACACUACCCAAAGCAGUGCUUCACUACAGUGGCAGACAGACCUGAAAAUUUUCAUCUGAAGCAGCAGAGUGAACUGCAGAGGCAGGUCACCAACCAGUGUGGAGGCUAAAAGCGGGCCUCUUUGGGGAUUCCAGGUGGAAGUGUUGGACAUCUGUAGUAUUCCUGGUCUCGAAUCAUCCUGAUAUUCUUCAUUUUGUUAUUCACAUUGGACUAGGGAACAAAGAUCACCACAACUGGCUCCCCUUCAACUAUGUUAGAUGGCAACUUGCCUUCAGUAUGGUGAAACACAUCAGUUAAGACCGGGGUUGUGCAUGGCAGGACUUUCUACAAGGACACCCAGUCUCCUUAAUAAACAUGAGAUGCUCUCUUUCCAGAAUUUCUCUUGCCUGACACAGCAUAGGAAGAUGCUGAACGGCCACACAGUGAUCCAUUGAGAUAGAAUCUCACUAUGUUGACCAGGCUGGUCUUGAACUCUUGGCACCCAAGCGAUCCUUUUGCCUGGAAUCCCAAAGUGUCAGAUUUACUGAAGAAUAUUUCAUUGUAAUUACUUUUUAUACUUUAUAGGUCAAGAGCUCUGUUUUAAAUACAAAAUUUAUUGAAUAUACUUUUUCAAACAAAGUUUCAUGUUCUAAUCAUUGUCUGAUUUCAGCAUUAAAUGAAACACAGUAAAGAAA
rnacentral:lncRNA from 1 species